rnacentral:rRNA from 1 species
ACGGGGUGCAGCAGGCGCGAAAACUUUACAAUGCGGGAAACCGCGAUAAGGGGACACUGAGUGCCAGCAUAUUAUGUUGGCUGUCCACAUGUAUAAAAACCAUGUGUUAGCAAGGGCCGGGCAAGACCGGUGCCAGCCGCCGCGGUAACACCGGCGGCCCGAGUGGUGAUCACUUUUAUUGGGUCUAAAGGGUCCGUAGCCGGUUUGAUCAGUCCUCUGGGAAAUCUGACAGCUCAACUGUUAGGCUUCCAGGGGAUACUGUUAGACUCGGGACCGGGAGAGGUAAGAGGUACUACAGGGGUAGGAGUGAAAUCUUGUAAUCCCUGUGGGACCACCAGUGGCGAAGGCGUCUUACCAGAACGGGUCCGACGGUGAGGGACGAAAGCUGGGGGCACGAACCGGAUUAGAUACCCGGGUAGUCCCAGCCGUAAACGAUGCUCGCUAGGUGUCAGGGACGGUGCGACCGUUUCUGGUGCCGCAGGGAAGCCGUGAAGCGAGCCACCUGGAAGUACGCCGCAAGGC